rnacentral:vault_RNA from 1 species
GGGUCAGCUCUAGCUCUAGCGGUUACUUCGUGUUACUAUGACUAAUCUCUGUCCAGGAGUUCGAGACCCGCGGGCGCUGCCUGGCCCUUUU